UGCCAUCUUGCUGAUUGUAUUUGUUUUUAAUUUGUAGACAAAAACCCACAGGGAGGUGCAAAGAGUAAAUCCUCUUUCACAACCCAGAACUCAUUGUUCAGUAUGAGUUUUGACACAGAUAAAACGGACAUG
rnacentral:snoRNA from 1 species